UUGAAAGGAUAACCUCCGUUCAUGGUCACUCGGGCGUUGCAUAUAGGAAUUUAAAGUGUGUUAGUGUGUUUUUAUUUAUCGGCUGAAGAAACACAUUUUGAAAGGCAGAAAUAUGAAGGUUAUGCUGUUUGUUUUGUCAGUCCUUUUGCUUCUCGCUCAAGCAUUUGCUGACGGUCAUGAGGCAGAAGUCGUUGAUUCGAUAGCGUCUGGUGCAGGCAACAGUGCCAUCUACUUACCUUUGGUGUUGCUGAGUUUUGCUGUAGCUCGCCUGGCUCUUCGAUAAGGAUCGUUUAUCAAGACACAGCCUGAUGUCAACUGGCUUCAAGAUUUAUCUUCUUUCCUCACUUUUUUUUAUAUAACAUCUACUUGCACCUAUUGCGUUUCCUUACAUUUCUGCACAAAAUAUACUACCUACAAAUAUCUUGUAAUUACUCUCGAAAUCACGCAUUAAAUGCGUCAAACUGACCAACAAUAUUGUUGUAUUUAGAGCUUGCCAGGGACUGGACUGUUACUCGUUCGAUUAAUGAUAAAACUAUUGUAUAAAUACUUUACAAGAAAACAUCAGUGUUAGGUAGUAUUAUUUGGACAUUUUAGUUUUACUAGCAUUGCUGUGCAACUACCAAGACUGUUUUUUCUUUAAAUGAAAUAUCUUUUGAA